rnacentral:rRNA from 1 species
CACGUGGGUAACCUGCCUCGAUGACCGGGACAACUCGGGGAAACCCGGGCUAAUACCGGAUGUGCUGCUCUCACAUAAGUGAGAGUUGAAAAGGAAGCUUCGGCCUCCGCAUCGAGAUGGGCCCGCGGCCCAUUAGCUUGUUGGUGAGGUAACGGCUCACCAAGGCUGCGAUGGGUAGCUGGUCUGAGAGGACGAUCAGCCACACUGGGACUGAGACACGGCCCAGACUCCUACGGAGGCAGCAGUGGGGAAUCUUGCGCAAUGCGCGAAAGCGUGAUCCAGCCAUGCCGCGUGUGUGAA